rnacentral:rRNA from 1 species
CCCUUAGAUGUUCUGGGCCGCACGCGCGCUACACUGACGAAUGCAACGAGCUUAUAACCUUGGCCGAAAGGUCUGGGUAAUCUCCAAAUUUCGUCGUGAUGGGGAUAGAUUAUUGCAAUUAUUAAUCUUCAACGAGGAAUGCCUAGUAAGCGCAAGUCAUCAGCUUGCGUUGAUUACGUCCCUGCCCUUUGUACACACCGCCCGUCGCUCCUACCGAUUGAAUGGUCCGGUGAAGCGUUCGGACCGUGGCCUUUGGACGGUUCGCCGUCUGUUGGCUGCGGGAAGUUCGUUAAACCUUAUCAUUUAGAGGAAGGAAAAGUCGUAACA